rnacentral:rRNA from 1 species
UACGAAGGGGGCUAGCGUUGCUCGGAAUUACUGGGCGUAAAGCGUGCGUAGGCGGUUCCUCAAGUCCGUUGUGAAAGCCCCGGGCUCAACCUGGGAAUGGCAGUGGAAACUAGGGGACUGGAAUCUGGCAGAGGGGGGUGGAAUGCCGCGUGUAGCAGUGAAAUGCGUAGAGAUGCGGCGGAACACCGAUGGCGAAGGCAGCCCCCUGGGCUGAGAUUGACGCUCAGGCACGAAAGCGUGGGGAGCAAACAGG